AGCACAAAUAGCACAUGAAAACCAAGCGGAGGGUCUGAUCUUCUCAGCUUCAAGGAGGUGGUCUGGUAAAAGUCCCCCCCAAAGGAAAUCGGAGGGGGCAAAUAAUGAUGGUGCAGCCAGGGCAAGGCAGGCAAGUCUGCAGGGAAAUUGGCCCGCAGCCGCCCUGGCCUAAAGUUGAAGCAAAGUGACGCAACUCGCCAGAGCAGGCAGUUCUCUCUCUUGUUAUUAUGGAGAACAGCAGCUGGUCAGACGUAACAUCAAACGCCUUUUUUUUUUUUCUCCUCUCUAUAAGCUAACAAGGAACCAGGAGGCCCUUGUAUAGGGACACACACUCACACAAA